GACGAACUGUCCUAACGUUGUUCGGAAUCACUGGGCUUAAAGGGCGCGUAGGCGGUCCAACCAGUCAGGGGUGAAAUCCUGCAGCUUAACUGCAGAAGUGCCUUUGAUACUGUUGGUCUUGAGGGAGAUAGGGGUGUGCGGAACUUCCAGUGGAGCGGUGAAAUGCGUUGAUAUUGGAAGGAACGCCGGUGGCGAAAGCGGCGCACUGGAUCUCUUCUGACGCUGAGGCGCGAAAGCUAGGGGAGCAAACGGG
rnacentral:rRNA from 1 species